rnacentral:rRNA from 1 species
CGCGAACCAUCGAGUCUUUGAACGCAAGUUGCGCCCGAGGCCACCCGGUUGAGGGCACGCCUGCCUGGGCGUCA